AGUGAACGCUGGCGGUAGGCCUAACACAUGCAAGUCGAACGGCAGCACAAUAAGAGCUUGCUCUUACGGGUGGCGCGUGGCGGACGGGUGAGGAAUACAUCGGAAUCUACUUUUUCGUGGGGGAUAACGUAGGGAAACUUACGCUAAUACCGCAUACGACCUACGGGUGAAAGCAGGGGAUCUUCGCACCUUGCGCGAUUGAAUGAGCCGAUGUCGGAUUAGCUAGUUGGCGGGGUAAAGGCCCACCAAGGCGACGAUCCGUAGCUGGUCUGACAGGAUGAUCUGCCCCACUGGAACUGGAAGACGAUCCAGACGCAUUGGGGAGGCAGAGAAGUGGAAUAUUCGACAAUGGGCGGAAGACUGGUCCAGACACGCCGAGUGUGAGAAGAAGGCCUUCGGGUUGUAGAACCCUUUUGUUGGGAAAGAAAAGCAGCAGGUUAAAGCCCCGCUGUUCUGACGGUACCCAAAUAAUAAGCACCGGCUAACUUCGUG
rnacentral:rRNA from 1 species